AGAGUUUGAUCAUGGCUCAGAUUGAACGCUGGCAGCAUGCUUUACACAUGCAAGUCGAACGGUAGGGUAGCAAUACCUGAGAGUGGCGAACGGGUGAGUAAUGCAUCGGAACAUGCCUAUUUGUGGGGGAUAGCCCGGCGAAAGCCGGAUUAAUACCGCAUACGAUCUACGGAUGAAAGCUGGGGACCGCAAGGCCUAGCGCAAAUAGAGUGGCCGAUGUCAGAUUAGCUAGUUGGUGGGGUAAAGGCCCACCAAGGCAACGAUCUGUAGCUGGUUUGAGAGAACGACCAGCCACACUGGGACUGAGACACGGCCCAGACUCCUACGGGAGGCAGCAGUGGGGAAUUUUGGACAAUGGGCGCAAGCCUGAUCCAGCAAUGCCGCGUGCAGGAUGAAGGCCUUCGGGUUGUAAACUGCUUUUGCACGGAACGAAACGGCUCUGGUUAAUACCCGGGGCUAAUGACGGUACC
rnacentral:rRNA from 1 species